rnacentral:rRNA from 1 species
CCUACGGGAGGCAGCAGUGAGGAAUAUUGGUCAAUGGGCGCGAGCCUGAACCAGCCAAGUCGCGUGAGGGAUGACGGUCCUACGGAUUGUAAACCUCUUUUGCCGGGGAGCAAGCGUGCGCUCGUGAACACGCGUCGAGAGUACCCGGAGAAAAAGCAUCGGCUAACUCCGUGCCAGCAGCCGCGGUAAUACGGAGGAUGCGAGCGUUAUCCGGAUUGAUUGGGUUUAAAGGGUGCGUAGGCGGGAUGCCAAGUCAGCGGUAAAAAUGCGGUGCUCAACGCCGUCGAGCCGUUGAAACUGGAGUUCUUGAGUGGGCGAGAAGUAUGCGGAAUGCGUGGUGUAGCGGUGAAAUGCAUAGAUAUCACGCAGAACUCCGAUUGCGAAGGCAGCAUACCGGCGCCCUACUGACGCUGAGGCACGAAAGCGUGGGUAUCGAACAGGAUUAGAUACCCCAGUAGUC